CAGUGAUUACCGGCCCUCGUGGCUGGACUCACCACCCUUGUGUAUUAUUAUUUGUUGCUUUGGCAGGCCGCGAGGUUCUACCACGCACCGGCUUCGGCGGGAGAGUGCCUGCCAGAGGACCCCAACUCUGUUAUUAGUGAUGUCUGAGUACUAUAUUAACAGUUA
rnacentral:misc_RNA from 1 species